AUGCGGUUCACGGCGUCUCCGGUGGUGGAGCUGCCGGUGGGCGGCGCGGUGCUGAGCUUCGAGCAGGACAACGACUCCUUCGAGGUGGGCACCUCGGUCUGGAACUCCUCCCUCGUCCUCGUCAAGUUUGCCGAGCGCUGCCUCGGCGACGAGGCGCUGCCCUUCGCCGACGCGCUCCGCUUCGCGGGCGCCCGCGCCAUCGAGCUCGGCGCCGGCUGCGGGCCCGCCGGCAUGGGGCUCUCCCGCCUCGGCCUCGCCGACCUCGUGCUCACCGACACCGCCGCCGUCCUCCCGGCCCUCCGCCGGAACCUCCGCCGCAACCGCCGCCACCUCCCGCGCGCGCCCCGCCUCGCCCAGCUCCACUGGAACUGCCCCGCGCACCUCGCCCAGCUCGCCGCCCCGCGCCGCUACGACCUCGUCGUCGCCGCCGACGUCGUCUACGUGCAGGAGUCCGUGCCCCACCUCGUCGCCGCCAUGGACGCGCUCGCCGACGCCGACCGCGGCGUCGUGCUCCUCGGGUACCAGAUCCGGUCCCCCGAGGCGCACCAGGCCUUCUGGGACGCCGUGCCCGCCGCCUUCCCGGUGAUCGAGAAGGUGCCGCGGGAGCACCUCGACCCGGAGUACGCCUUCGAAGAAUCCGAUGUGUUUGUGCUCCGCAGGAGGCCGCGGCAGUGA
rnacentral:rRNA from 1 species